UUAUUUAAUAAUCAUAAUAUAGUAGCUCCCUUUCUCUCUCUCCCAUCUUGGCGCACGUUGUUGUCUAACUCGUGUCUCGUUGGAGAUGGGCAGAGGGCGACCGAGGAAAGCGAUGAAACACACUCACGCGGAGGAUAUUUUGGCAUUCAGUCGAGCUCAGGCCAUGCUGGAAAGAGGUCGGUACCAAUACCAGACGCCUAAGUCAAUAAAGUGAUUACUCUGCAUAUCACGCUGGUAGCUAUAACCAACACGAAGGGGAAAUCUGUAGCGGUGAAAACCUGGCCUACUUUACCGAAUCAUAAGUUAGGAACUGAAACCCUGACAACACCUGCAGCUCCGACGCCUGUUAACACUGAAUAGGACCUUAAUUUUAGUAAUGGCGCCCAAAAAAAAUCAAUUUGCCAGAGAAGACCUCGGAGAAGCCACGGACAAAUUUGUUUGCUCCUAAUUAAUUGGUCACAAGAGGUUCGGACAUUCAGUUUCUCAACCGUUCUUAAACAGCUCAGCGUUACCCAAUAGCAGUAAUGGUCCUAGCUCGAGUGCGCCUCAGCUUGCUUGACUCGAGUGAUUGUUUGAGCUUCCAACGUAGCAGUUGGAAAUUCAUGCGUUCGAAGUUCACCUCUAUCUUUCUAUAGUAGUUAUGUCUUUAUUAGUAUUCUGAGACAAAUAUUAAUCCUUUGUAGUUAUUUUUCUGAAGUAUUUGACUCUUGGAUUGUAUUAGUAGUUCUUACACUAUUGACACCUUAUUUUAGGUAUGAUUGGUAUUUUGGAUAAGUUCUUUCUGCAUUGUUAUGAUUACUUAUAUGGUUCAGCUU